AUCCAUCCUGGAUGAAGACCAAUGAAGAGAGGGCUAGUCCCUGAGGUUUGCACCGUACUGGGCGCACCAGGAUCGUCUGAAACAGUCAGUGUAGGGUGGCGGAAACAAGUCUAGACGAAUCUGAUCUCGACACUUUGCGGGUAUAGAGAGCAUACUUGGAAUCAUAAUAGUAGAUGAGAUCUCUGAGGGGAAUGAGUUGAAAGAGAAGAAAUGUGGUUUGGAGAUUGAACCUUGGGGAAUGCCAUCAUUUAGGAGAUGGAAGAAGAGCAGCAAAGUACUGAGGAACGAAGGUUCAAGAUAGGCUGAAAUACUCAGAGCAGCACUCUUUUAUGUACUUUCACUAUCUCUGCUGGAGAAAUGAUUGUUGAAAUGAGGGAUAAAGACCUUUGUGGAAGCAAAAACUGGGGGCUAAUUAGCAUUCCAAAGGACAUUGAUAAGAAGAAAUAACAAUGAAAUAGCAGCCUGAGGGUGGAAGGAAAGUACUUAAUCUCUUAACCUUUUUGGCCUCACUUUCUUCAUUUGUAAAUUAAAGGCAUUGGACUAGAUGAUCUCUAAGGCAUUUUCCAGUUCUAAAUCUAUGAUCCCAGGAUGAAGGUAAAUUCAGAAAGACUCAUCACAGGAACAUUGCUCAACAAGAGGACGAAUUUUCUCAGGCACAGGAAUUCAUGAAAAAUAUCUCCUAAGGAGCAGAGAGGUUGAAAUCUUAUUGGUGGAGAGCAAAGUCUACACACAUCUUGUGAAAUCACAAGAUCCAUGAAAUAUUGAAGCCUUUGAUUUUUAGAAGGAUUUCCCACUCCCUAAAUCUGGAGACCAUUUUGUUUAGGGCCAACAGUGUCUCACUUGACUUGAUAUGAACUCAUCCACCCUGAACUAGACAGAGGCAUUCCCCUCAUUUCCCCCAUUCUCUGAUCUUCUCACUUCUGCAUCAGUCAAGAACAGACAGAUGUUCUCAGGAAAAUUACCUUGACAAGCAAACAUAGAUUGUGUAGGAACUGAUCACAGGUAGUGUAGGAAUCUUCUGACUUUUCUAAUUCUGCCAAUUCAAGUCACAGGCCUUAGUUUCCUUGUCUGGAAAAUGGGACUAAUGCUACUUGAACUAUUUAUCUCAACAACAUUGCUGCAAUUUUCAAACCUUUAUCAACACGAAUUUUAUUAUGAUUAUGAAAGGAACAACCUGCCACCCCACUACUACCCCCCCCCCCCCGCCAUGAUGUUACCACUCCAAUUCUAUUGAAUUGGGCAGUAGUUUUACCACAUUUUCCCUCUAUCCUCUUCCCCUUUCCCUUUUUCUUACCUCCCCUGGAAGCUUAAAAAAAAUCUGGACUAGUGAUUUCAUUGGCGUAGGGAGCUUUCCGUGAGAAAAUAACAUUUACCAAAGCAGAGAGGCAUGUGUUCUAAAAUUUACAGUUGGGAGUAGCUGUAUGGCUAAGUGGAUUCAUAGGCAGGCCCAGAGACUGGAGGUUCUGGGUUCAAAUUUGACCUCAGACACUUCCCAGCUGUGUGACCCUGGGCAAGUCACUUAACCCCCAUUGCCUAGCCCUUACCACUUUUCUGCCUUAGAAGCUGUCAACAAGGAAUCUAAAAAUCCUCAAACUUGUAGCCCAUUGAGAUCUGAUGACCCUCAGUUUAGUUAGCUUGAAGGUGAAAGUCCCGAGUUUUAAUUUGUCUCUAGAGAGUUUCUCCCUGAGGGAAAAAUUCAAUUUCAGGAGUCUCAGACUAACAAUAGACCUUAAAGUUGUUUAAGUGGGGAUGGCUAAUCCCAUCUGGUGUUAAGUAUCAUCUCUGUUUGUCCCAGUGGUUUCUCCCUUCAGGCUAGUCCCUUACUUUGGUAGCUCAGUCCUCUGGCUGGAUCUUUCCUUUUUGUGUCUAUUGUAAAGCUUCAGCCCCUCACAGUUAUUCUUGUCAGGGACUCCUCAUUUUCUUUCUUACCAUUGUAAAGCCAAUCAGCUAUCCUCUCUCAUCCUCAGUCCCCAAUUUCCCUAAAAAGGUAUUUAAACUUCCCAACUUUAAUGACUUUUUGGAGUUUUCAUCUAGAAUGAUGACACUCCCAGGGGUCCGUGAUCAGAGUAGCCAGAGUCUGGGGAUUCUUUGAGGGCUUGUGGCACACAGCUCUGUGAGGAGGCCUAAUAAUGCACGUACCCCUUUAUCCCUAAUUAAAAAGUGUUUUUUCUCUCUA